rnacentral:rRNA from 1 species
AAAGGCGUAGUCGAUGGCUAACAGGUUGAUAUUCCUGUACCACGUUGAAUCCAUUAUGACCGAUGGGGGGACGGGGAAGGGUAAGAGAACCCAGGCGAUGGUUGUCCUGGGGCAAGUACGUAGCUAGUCGUUAUAGGAAAAUCCGUAACGGCGUUUUGACGCGAGGUGCGAUGCCAGCUGGUUUGAUUACCGGCAAGUCUCUGAGCCCAUGCCUCCAAGAAAAGCCUCUAGGCAGGAUUCAUGUGCCCGUACCGAUAACCGACACAGGUGGACAAGUAGAAGAUACUAAGGUGAGCGAGAUAACCCUCGUUAAGGAACUCGGCAAAAUCGCCCCGUAACUUCGGGAGAAG